rnacentral:lncRNA from 1 species
AUGGUGCACAUGGAUGUCCUGGCUGAUGCUCUCAAGAGCAUCAACAAUGCCAGAAAGAGAGGCAAAUGAGGUUCUUAUUAGGCCGAGCUCCGAAGUUAUUGUCCGGUUUCUCAAUGUGAUGAUGCAGCAUGAUUACAUGGGCGAAUCUGAAAUCACUGAUGAUCACAUUGCUAGGAAAAUUGUUGUGAACCUCACAGGCAGGCUAAACAAGUGUGGAGUGAUCAGCCCCCAGAUUUGAUGUACAACUCAAAGAUCUAGAAAAAUGGCAGAAUAAUCUGUUUCCAUCCUGCCAGUUUGGUUUCAUUGUAAUGACAACCUCAGCCGGCCUCAUGGACCACGAAGAUGCAAGAAGAAAACACACAGAGGGAAAAUGCUGCAAUUCUUUUUCUAG